GUUUUAAUAGUUUAAUAAAAACAUUGGUCUUGUAAACCAAAAUUAAGAUAUAUCUUUUAAAACU
rnacentral:tRNA from 1 species